rnacentral:rRNA from 1 species
UACGAAGGGGGCUAGCGUUGCUCGGAAUCACUGGGCGUAAAGCGCACGUAGGCGGACUCUUAAGUCGGGGGUGAAAUCCUGGAGCUCAACUCCAGAACUGCCUUCGAUACUGAGAGUCUUGAGUCCGGGAGAGGUGAGUGGAACUGCGAGUGUAGAGGUGAAAUUCGUAGAUAUCGCAAGAACACCAAGUGGCGAAGGCGGCUCACUGGCCCGGUACUGACGCUGA